rnacentral:rRNA from 1 species
CGAGGGAUUUUCGGCAAUGGGCGCAAGCCUGACCGAGCAACGCCGCGUGCGGGACGACGCCCCUCGGGGUGUAAACCGCUUUUCCCGGGGGCGAAGAUGACGGUACCCGGGGAAUCAGCCUCGGCUAACUACGUGCCAGCAGCCGCGGUAAGACGUAGGAGGCGAGCGUUGUCCGGAGUCACUGGGCGUAAAGGGCGCGCGGGCGGCCGCGCCGGCCAUCCGUGAAAGCCCCCGGCUCAACCGGGCGGGAGCGGGUGGGACCGCGCGGCUGGAGGGCGGCAGAGGCCGGUGGAAUUCCCGGAGGAGCAGUGAAAUGCGUAGAGCCCGGGAGGAACACCCGCGGCGAAGGCGGCCGGCUGGGCCGACCCUGACGCUGAGGCGCGAAGGCCGGGGGAGCGAACGG